rnacentral:rRNA from 1 species
UACGUAGGGGGCUAGCGUUGUCCGGAAUCAUUGGGCGUAAAGAGCGUGUAGGCUGCUCGGUAAGUCCGCUGUAAAAGUCAAAGGCUCAACCUUUGAAUGUCAGUGGAUACUGCCGGGCUAGAGUCCGGAAGAGGCGAGUGGAACUCCAGGUGUAGCGGUGAAAUGCGUAGAUAUCUGGAGGAACACCGGUGGCGAAGGCGGCAUCCUGGACCGGUAUUGACGCUGAGGCGCGAAAGCCAGGGGAGCAAACGGG